rnacentral:rRNA from 1 species
CCUACGGGUGGCAGCAGUGGGGAAUAUUGGACAAUGGGCGAAAGCCUGAUCCAGCCAUGCCGCAUGUGUGAAGAAGGCCUUCGGGUUGUAAAGCACUUUCAGUGGGGAAGAAAGCCUUGGGGCUAAUACCCUCGAGGAAGGACAUCACCCACAGAAGAAGCACCGGCUAACUCCGUGCCAGCAGCCGCGGUAAUACGGAGGGUGCGAGCGUUAAUCGGAAUUACUGGGCGUAAAGCGCGCGUAGGCGGUCUGAUAAGCCGGUUGUGAAAGCCCCGGGCUCAACCUGGGAACGGCAUCCGGAACUGUCAGGCUAGAGUGCAGGAGAGGAAGGUAGAAUUCCCGGUGUAGCAGUGAAAUGCGUAGAGAUCGGGAGGAAUACCAGUGGCGAAGGCGGCCUUCUGGACUGACACUGACGCUGAGGUGCGAAAGCGUGGGUAGCAAACAGGAUUAGAUACCCUGGUAGUC